rnacentral:rRNA from 1 species
UACGUAGGGAGCAAGCGUUGUUCGGAUUUACUGGGCGUAAAGGGCGCGUAGGCGGCGCGGUAAGUCACUUGUGAAAUCUCUGAGCUUAACUCAGAACGGCCAAGUGAUACUGCAGUGCUAGAGUGCAGAAGGGGCAAUCGGAAUUCUUGGUGUAGCGGUGAAAUGCGUAGAUAUCAGGAGGAACACCGGUGGCGAAGGCGGUUCUCUGGGCAUUACCUGACGCUGAGGAGCGAAAGUGUGGGGAGCGAACAGG